GACGAACGCUGGCGGCGUGCCUAAUACAUGCAAGUCGAGCGCAGGAAGUCGACGGAACCCUUCGGGGGGAAGUCGACGGAAUGAGCGGCGGACGGGUGAGUAACACGUAAAGAACCUGCCCUCAGGUCUGGGAUAACCACAAGAAAUCGGGGCUAAUACCGGACGGGUCAUCGGACCGCAUGGUCCGAGGAUGAAAGGCGCUUCGGCGUCGCCUGGGGAUGGCUUUGCGGUGCAUUAGCUAGUUGGUGGGGUAAUGGCCCACCAAGGCGACGAUGCAUAGCCGACCUGAGAGGGUGAUCGGCCACACUGGGACUGAGACACGGCCCAGACUCCUACGGGAGGCAGCAGUAGGGAAUCUUCCACAAUGGACGAAAGUCUGAUGGAGCAACGCCGCGUGAACGAUGAAGGCCUUCGGGUCGUAAAGUUCUGUUGUAAGGGAAGAACAAGUGCCGCAGGCAAUGGCGGCACCUUGACGGUACCUUGCGAGAAAGCCACGGCUAACUACGUGCCAGCCGCCGCAGUAACAC
rnacentral:rRNA from 1 species